rnacentral:rRNA from 1 species
UGGGGAAUAUUGCACAAUGGGCGCAAGCCUGAUGCAGCCAUGCCGCGUGUAUGAAGAAGGCCUUCGGGUUGUAAAGUACUUUCAGCGGGGAGGAAGGGAGUAAAGUUAAUACCUUUGCUCAUUGACGUUACCCGCAGAAGAAGCACCGGCUAACUCCGUGCCAGCAGCCGCGGUAAUACGGAGGGUGCAAGCUUUAAUCGGAAUUACUGGGCGUAAAGCGCACGCAGGCGGUUUGUUAAGUCAGAGGUGAAAUCCUCGGGCUCAACCUGGGAACUGCAUUUGAUACUGGCAAGCUUGAGUCUCGUAGAGGGGGGUAGAAUUCCAGGUGUAGCGGUGAAAUGCGUAGAGAUCUGGAGGAAUACCGGUGGCGAAGGCGGCCCCCUGGACGAAGACUGACGCUAAGGUGCGAAAGCGUGGGGAGCAAACAGG